AACGAACGCUGGCGGCAGGCCUAACACAUGCAAGUCGAGCGCGCCCUUCGGGGUGAGCGGCGGACGGGUGAGUAACGCGUGGGAACGUGCCCUUUUCUACGGAAUAGCCUCGGGAAACUGAGAGUAAUACCGUAUACGCCCUUUGGGGGAAAGAUUUAUCGGAAAAGGAUCGGCCCGCGUUGGAUUAGGUAGUUGGUGGGGUAAUGGCCUACCAAGCCGACGAUCCAUAGCUGGUUUGAGAGGAUGAUCAGCCACACUGGGACUGAGACACGGCCCAGACUCCUACGGGAGGCAGCAGUGGGGAAUCUUAGACAAUGGGGGCAACCCUGAUCGAGCCAUGCCGCGUGAGUGAUGAAGGCCUUAGGGUCGUAAAGCUCUUUCAGCUGGGAUGAUAAUGACGGUACCAGCUGAAGAAGCCCCGGCUAACUCCGUG
rnacentral:rRNA from 1 species